rnacentral:tRNA from 1 species
GGGGCUAGCUUAGUGGUAGAGCGCAUGCUUAGCAUGCACGAGGUCCUGGGUUCAAUCCCCGGUACCUCCA